GGCGAAGCCCGCCUGUGCGGGCUA
rfam:Roseiflexus sp. RS-1, complete genome.